UGUCUGGGGAUCUGCCCCAUAUAGGGGGAUAACCACUGGAAACGGUGGCUAAUACCCCAUAACGUCUCAAGACCAAAGAGGGGGACCUUCUGGCCUCUCUCUAUCGCAUGAGCCCCCAUGGGAUUAUCUAGUAGGCGGGGUAAUGGCCCACCUAUGCGACAAUCCCUAUCUGGUCUGAGAGGAUGACCACCCCCACUGGAACUGAGACACGGUCCACACUCCCACGGGAGGCGCCAGUGGGGAAUAUUGCGCAAUGGGCGC
rnacentral:rRNA from 1 species